rnacentral:rRNA from 1 species
AUGAUAAUUAACGUAUUAUGCGUUACUUUGCCAUAAACCCGCAUCAUAUUAGGUAAUGGUUAUCGCACAAUAAUAAACUUACAGAACCAAUCCUUAUGUGUAAUCUUUUCGUAACUGGAAUAGGUCACAAUGGCACUGAAAAAAGGGCCAUCGCUUUUGCGCAGCAGUAAGUAAAUGUUGACAAUGUAUGAAUAGUAUGAUCUUGAUACGAUAGAAUAUGCUACAAUAGACCUUUAUUUGUCUAUUGUUUUAAAAGCGCCGGCAAAUUCCGUGCCAGCAACCGCGGUAAGACGGGAGGCGCAAGUCUAUUAUGCAAGGAAUAGGCGAAUUUACAAGCGAGUGUAUAUAAACAUUAUUAAUAAUAUAUCCCUGUUUUCUUUCCUGAUUGCAGAUUCCCUGAAUGGAAUCUGCAAAGGGGAUAUAAUGACGAAGCUUGUUUUUAUUCUUUAUGUAACAGUAAAAUGUGAUCCAAAUAAAGAGGACGGCCAAUGGCGCAAGCAAACUUUCGUAAUUAAUAUUAAUAGAAACUCGGAAGCCCAAGUAUCAAAAGGGAUUAGAGACCCCUGUAGUUUGGGCCGUCAAUAGACCAUUAAAUAAAAACAUAUAAAUGGUACGCCUGGUGAUUCGUUCGCAAGAAUGUAAAUCAUAGAAAUUGGCAGUCAUAGACAACCGCUGUGGAGCGUGCUGUUUAAUUCGACACACCGCGUAGAACCUUUCCACCAU